CUAUAUAUAUAUAUAUAUAUAUAUAUAGUCUAGCUACUAUACUAUCAAUAGUAUUUGGGUAAUUUACUAUACAAUUUUUAGUUGUUAGAUCUAUUUUUUGAUUAUUUCUACCAUUAGAUCCAAUUUAAAUCUAGAUUUUGAUUUUAUUUUUAAUUUUAAAAUAAAUUUAAUUUUUUAAAUUAUGGGUUUAUAUUAAAAACAAUUGUACGUUAUGAAACACAUAAAAGAUAUUU
rnacentral:lncRNA from 1 species